rnacentral:rRNA from 1 species
CGCAAGCCUGACGGAGCAAGACCGCGUGGGGGAGGAAUGCCUUAGGGUUGUAAACCCCUUUUAUCUGGGAAGAACAAAAUGACGGUACCAGAUGAAUAAGCCUCGGCUAACUCCGUGCCAGCAGCCGCGGUAAUACGGAGGAGGCAAGCGUUAUCCGGAAUUAUUGGGCGUAAAGCGUUCGCAGGUGGCCAUUCAAGUCUGCUGUCAAAGACCAGAGCUCAACUCUGGGUAGGCGGUGGAAACUGAAUAGCUAGAGUGCGGUAGGGGUAGAGGGAAUUCCCAGUGUAGCGGUGAAAUGCGUAGAGAUUGGGAAGAACAUCGGUGGCGAAAGCGCUCUGCUGGGCCGCAACUGACACUCAGGGACGGAAGCUAGGGGAGCG